UACGUAGGGUGCAAGCGUUACUCGGAAUUACUGGGCGUAAAGCGUGCGCAGGCGGUAAUGCAAGACAGAUGUGAAAUCCCCGGGCUCAACCUGGGAACUGCAUUUGUGACUGCAUUGCUGGAGUGCGGCAGAGGGGGAUGGAAUUCCGCGUGUAGCAGUGAAAUGCGUAGAUAUGCGGAGGAACACCGAUGGCGAAGGCAAUCCCCUGGGCCUGUACUGACGCUCAUGCACGAAAGCGUGGGGAGCAAACAGG
rnacentral:rRNA from 1 species